rnacentral:lncRNA from 1 species
UGAGAUGGUUUGCUAUGGCGCUAUUUGCCUUAUGUGACCCAUGUUUGGCCACAUGCUUAUUGUUGUCUCUCCAAUACAAGUUUGUGUGCACAUCAUGGGCCUUGCUUAUUUAGCCUACUGCUUUUUACUAGCCCGCCUUCCGAUAAGUAAGCUACCUGCUUUUGCAAUUUUCUUACCUUGCACAAUAACUGUUCUUCCUUUUCCUUCUCCCUAUCGUAAUCUUUUCGUUCCUCGCGAUGUCGUAUCUUUGUCUCUCUCCUCUUACUCCGAUAAUCAUUAUCAUUUUUCCGAUUUGAACCUGCUUUGUUAGUUUUUCUUUCUUUUGAUUUUUUACCUAGUUCCUCAUAGGCGACAUCCGCUCUUUCUUUACAUCUCGCUAUGGGUUUCUUUUCGCGAACGUCAACUCCUCUGUCGAUAUCUCCAGUUUUGACUAUGUCGUCCUCUUCUCUUUUCUUACCCAGUGGAGUUUGGAACCUAAUUUUGAAUGUUUGGGACAUACCUUGCUCCGUCGUUAGCGGCCCGAUGAAAUCGAGUGGUAGCUCGUUCACGUCGGGUUCACCAUUGUUGAAAGUUGAGACUCAUAAUGAUUUUAUUUAAUCUUGGUUAUUUUACAAUUCAUCCCCUAAUUUGAUCCUAGCUUUGGAUUUUUAUAGACUCGUUGAUGGUUCCUAUCACGACGUGAUGUCUUUUUCAUAUGGACACUUGGUCGGUUCCUGACAGUUCUUCAUUGGGAGUGAUUAAUAUAAAGUGAUGUUUAUUCCCUAAACACUA